AGUUACGUGUUCAGUCAUACAAGUAGUUUCCUCUGGUAAUGCUUCACUAACUCCCUUUCAUGAGUUGAAUAGUGAAGUCAGUAAUUAGGCAGUUUUUGCUUCUCAAAGUGCUCCAGACAUCUGCAUACCUGUUGCCCUUUCACAGAAAAUAGGGGUUGAAGUGGUUUGCCCCAAGUCGUGAGGAUCGAAUCAUCAAUUUAGUUGUUGGCAGCUUAACAUCCUUAUUGAUUCUAGUAACGCUGAUAAGUGCUUUUGUUUUCCCUCAACUACCUCCAAAACCGUUGAAUAUAUUCUUUGCUGUCUGCAUCUCUUUGAGUAGUAUUACUGCCUGCAUACUUAUCUACUGGUAUCGACAAGGAGACUUAGAACCGAAAUUUAGAAAGCUAAUUUACUAUAUCAUAUUUUCUAUCAUCAUGUUGUGUAUAUGUGCAAACCUGUACUUCCAUGAUGUGGGAAGGUGAGGCUGCCAAGGAGAAGUACUUACCAGGACUCUUCAA
rnacentral:lncRNA from 1 species